AGGAAAGAAACUCCAAACUGAGACUGAAGAAGAGGGGGCCUGUGAAGAAGGAUGGAGGGCAGAUUUCAAGAAAAGAGGAGAGCAUUUGCAAAGGCCUUGAAGUGAGAAACAGUCUUCUGAGAGAGAACCUGAAAGAAAAGUGUGGAGAGACGAGAAGCAGCACCAGUUAAGAUGAGGCCAGAUCGUGGAGGCCCCAAGGCAAAUCGAAGGAAUUCUACAUCCAACACUGAACCAUGAAAAUUAUUUUAAAUACAGAAACUACAUGUAUACUUGUUAUUUAUCAACCUAGAAAAUGGGUCUUCAGAGCAAGAUAUGGUUGGCAGUGCAACAGGACGGCUUAUGGAAGAAGCACAGAGGAAAGAAUAGAUGACCCAGUUUCCAAAGCAAACUUGAGCCAAGACUUUCACAUAAAACUGCCUUUGCACAUCUAAGUAAAUAAAGUGAGAGAAAUCAGUA